UGCAAGUCGAACGGUGAAGCCUUUCGGGGUGGAUCAGUGGCGAACGGGUGAGUAACACGUGGGCAAUCUGCCCUGCACUCUGGGACAAGCCCUGGAAACGGGGUCUAAUACCGGAUAUUACCUGGUUGCGCAUGCUUCCGGGUGGAAAGCUCCGGCGGUGCAGGAUGAGCCCGCGGCCUAUCAGCUUGUUGGUGGGGUGAUGGCCUACCAAGGCGACGACGGGUAGCCGGCCUGAGAGGGCGACCGGCCACACUGGGACUGAGACACGGCCCAGACUCCUACGGGAGGCAGCAGUGGGGAAUAUUGCACAAUGGGCGAAAGCCUGAUGCAGCGACGCCGCGUGAGGGAUGACGGCCUUCGGGUUGUAAACCUCUUUCAGCAGGGAAGAAGCGCGAGUGACGGUACCUGCAGAAGAAGCACCGGCUAACUACGUGCCAGCAGCCGCGGUAAUACGUAGGGUGCGAGCGUUGUCCGGAAUUAUUGGGCGUAAAGAGCUCGUAGGCGGCUUGUCGCGUCGGAUGUGAAAGCCCGGGGCUUAACUCCGGGUCUGCAUUCGAUACGGGCAGGCUGGAGUGCGGUAGGGGAGAUCGGAAUUCCUGGUGUAGCGGUGAAAUGCGCAGAUAUCAGGAGGAACACCGGUGGCGAAGGCGGAUCUCUGGGCCGUUACUGACGCUGAGGAGCG
rnacentral:rRNA from 1 species